GUUGAGAUUAUAGUAACUGAAAUAUAUGUUAGCUGCAAUUUGCUAAAGGGUGAUAUGCUUAUGAUCUUAUGGAUGGAAGCCCUAGAGUUCAAUUGCCAGGACUUUUUUCACAAGAGUUAGGAUCAGCUGGCCCCGAGUGCAAAGAACUUCAAGAAACAACAAAGAGUUGUUGAUGGAUAAUUCAGCCGGCUUGCUUCUCUGUUUGCCAAUUGUUUGGAGCUACGAGGUGUCCUAAAUCUCUAGUGCAAAAACUAUAGCA